GAUGAACGCUGGCGGCGUGCCUAAUACAUGCAAGUCGAGCGAACAGACGAGGAGCUUGCUCCUCUGACGUUAGCGGCGCACGGGUGAGUAACACGUGGAUAACCUACCUAUAAGACUGGGAUAACUUCGGGAAACCGGAGCUAAUACCGGAUAAUCUAUUGAACCGCAUGGUUCAAUAGUGAAAGACGGUUUUGCUGUCACUUAUAGAUGGAUCCGCGCCGCAUUAGCUAGUUGGUAAGGUAACGGCUUACCAAGGCAACGAGGCGUAGCCGACGUGAGAGGGUGAUCGGCCGCACUGGAGCUGGGACGCGGUCCAGACGCCUACGGGAGGCAGCAGUAGGGAAUCGUCGGCAGUGGGCGGAAGCAUGACGGAGCGACGGCGCGUGAGAGAUGGAGGUCUUCGGAGCGUAAAACUCUGUUAUUGGGGAUAAACAAAUGUGUAAGGAACUAUGCACGUCUUGACGGUACUUAAUCAGAAAGCAACGGCUAACUACGUG
rnacentral:rRNA from 1 species